rnacentral:rRNA from 1 species
UACAGAGGGGGCAAGCGUUGUUCGGAAUUACUGGGCGUAAAGGGCGCGUAGGCGGCCUGCUAAGUCGAACGUGAAAUCCCUGGGCUCAACCCAGGAACUGCGUCCGAUACUGGUUGGCUUGAAUCCGGGAGAGGGAUGUGGAAUUCCAGGUGUAGCGGUGAAAUGCGUAGAUAUCGAGAGGAACACCUGCGGCGAAGGCGGGUUGCUGGGCUGACACUGACGCUGAUGCGCGAAAGCUAGGGGAGCGAACGGG